rnacentral:lncRNA from 1 species
GUCAGUGUUGGUGGGAUUGGGUUGUUAAUGGGGAGUUGAUAUUAUUUCUCUUAACUUUAAUUUUUAUUUUUAUUUUAUUUUGUUUCCUAAAAUUUCUCUUUUUCCUCCGUUCUUUUUGUUUCCCCACAGUUUUUAUUUUCUUUUUCAUUUUCCAUUCUACACGUGAGAUCUUGAAAAGAAAAUUUCUUUUUGAUUUUUGAUCUUAAGUGCUUUAUUUCCCUUGUUCUUGUUGUUCAAAUCGGUAGAGGGUUUGAUUGUAUUGGUUGCUAUUUGGUUGGUGUAAGUCUUGUU